rnacentral:rRNA from 1 species
AACGAGCGCAACCCUCGUCCUUAGUUCGCAGCUAUUAGUUGGGCACUCUAAGGAGACUGCCGGUGACAAACCGGAGGAAGGUGGGGAUGACGUCAAGUCAUCAUGGCCCUUACGGCCUGGGCUACACACGUGCUACAAUGGUCGGUACAAAGGGUUGCCAAGCCGCGAGGUGGAGCUAAUCCCAUAAAACCGAUCGUAGUCCGGAUCGCAGUCUGCAACUCGACUGCGUGAAGUCGGAAUCGCUAGUAAUCGUGAAUCAGAAUGUCACGGUGAAUACGUUCCCGGGCCUU